AUUGAACGCUGGCGGCAGGCCUAACACAUGCAAGUCGAGCGGAUGAAGGGAGCUUGCUCCUGGAUUCAGCGGCGGACGGGUGAGUAAUGCCUAGGAAUCUGCCUGGUAGUGGGGGAUAACGUCCGGAAACGGGCGCUAAUACCGCAUACGUCCUGAGGGAGAAAGUGGGGGAUCUUCGGACCUCACGCUACCAGAUGAGCCUAGGUCGGAUUAGCUAGUUGGUGGGGUAAAGGCCUACCAAGGCGACGAUCCGUAACUGGUCUGAGAGGAUGAUCAGUCACACUGGAACUGAGACACGGUCCAGACUCCUACGGGGAGCAGCAGUGGGGAAUAUUGGACAAUGGACGAAAGCCUGCUCCAGCCUUACCGCGUGUGUGCAGAAGGUCUUCGGAUUGUAAAGCACUUUAAGUUGGGAGGAAGGGCAGUAAGUUAAUACCUUGCUGUUUUGCCGUUACCAACAGAAUAAGCACCGGCUAACUUCGUG
rnacentral:rRNA from 1 species